rnacentral:sRNA from 1 species
GACUGCGGAGGUCAUUAAGCAAUGCCAAGGUCGCGGGCAGUCGCUGGCCCUCCGGGGCAUGUGCACGCCGCUUCCGCAUCCCCCCCUCUUCCACACCCCCCUGUGCACCUUUGCGUGGGGUGCCGUUGGGCUUCGUCGCCUUUCGGUGCUCUGCGUCUCUUACCGCGACACACGCCACGCAUGUCUUCAGAAUGUCUAUUGCGAUAAAAAGCAAACAGAAUACAACUUUCAACAACGGAUCUCUUGGCUCUCGCAUCGAUGAAGAACGCAGCGAAAUGCGAUAAGUAAUGUGAAUUGCAGAAUUCAGUGAAUCAUCGAAUCUUUGAACGCACCUUGCGCCCCUUGGUAUUCCGAGGGGCACGCCUGUUUGAGUGUCGUGAACUUCUCACCUUCACCCCCCUUUUCGGAGGAGGGGUUGGGGCGUGGACGUUGGAGGUCUUGCCGGAAACCCACCCCCUUUCGGCUCCUCUCAAAUGCAUUAGUGGCGACCUCCCCAGCGUUGGCCUUCGGUGUGAUAAUCGUCUACGCCGUCGGGGCUUACGCGCAGUGGAGACCUGCUUCAAACUCGCCGCCACACGUGUUUUCCUUCUGGGAUGCGUGCAUGUGGGCUUUGAUCAAAACUUGACCUCAAAUCAGGCGGGACUACCCGCUGAACUUAAGCAUAUCAUAAACCGGAAAGAAAU